UCCCAACUGGUCCAGCGGCUAAGACUCUGUGCUUGCAAUUCAGGGGCCCAGGUUCGAUCCCUGGUUGGGGAA
rnacentral:tRNA from 1 species